AUACGUAGGGUGCGAGCGUUAAUCGGAAUUACUGGGCGUAAAGCGUGCGCAGGCGGUUCGUUAAGUCAGAUGUGAAAGCCCCGGGCUCAACCUGGGAACUGCAUUUGAAACUGGCGGGCUUGAGUGCGGCAGAGGGGGGUGGAAUUCCGCGUGUAGCAGUGAAAUGCGUAGAGAUGCGGAGGAACACCGAUGGCGAAGGCAGCCCCCUGGGCCGACACUGACGCUCAGGCACGAAAGCGUGGGGAGCAAACAGGAUUAGAUACCCUGGUAGUCCACGCCCUAAACGAUGCUCACUAGGUGUUGGGGAAGCGAUUCCUUGGUACCGUAGCUAACGCGUGAAGUGAGCCGCCUGGGGAGUACGGCCGCAAGGUUAAA
rnacentral:rRNA from 1 species